rnacentral:lncRNA from 1 species
AAUUUCAAAACGAGAUUUCAACGAGACGGAACGAGACUGAAAAGUCAGAAGAAUGUUAACAAGUAUAUAAAAAGUUUGUUUUUCACUAAACAUUUGACCUCGUGGUUCAUCUGUACCAACGUAAUCCACGAAAAUUGGUAUCCCACGAAUAAAGAAAACUCUACAGAAGAUUGAAAGAAUUUGACUUGGCCUUAAAUAAUCUACAUAUGUCUUUCAUUGUAAAGUAACUAUGUAUAUAUGUCAUGUGAUUUCAAUGAAUUGCAGUGCCUUAUUUAUUUAAAUGCCGUUAAUAGUAUUAAAAUCAUUCAGGAACAUUAUCAUAUACCUUUCUAAUCAAUCGUCGUAUUUAGUCCAACAGUCUAUCACCAUUUGUCGACUGCAACGCACCCAAAACUCAGCAUAUAUAGAAGGCUGAUGCAUUUAACUAAAUAUGUCCACUUGAUAUUCAUCAGUGUCACCCGAAUAAAAAUAGGCAAUAGAUUAUUAUUAAGCUGAAGAGCAUUAAAAAUAUACCAGAGAGGAUGUUUCGAAUAUAUUGCUAGCCAUCUGGUGGUAUAAAAAAACCUGACUUUGUGACGAUAAUUAAAUUUCAUAAUAAAUGGAAAUGGACUGCAAUGAAAAUAUCACUAAUGCUCUAUCAAUUUUCACUCGGACGGAAU